AUUGAACGCUGGCGGCAGGCCUAACACAUGCAAGUCGAACGGGAGGCGGACGGGAGGGUAAGGCAUGGGACUCUGGCUUAUGGAGGGGGAUAACUACGGGAAACUGAAGCUAAAUCCGCGCAGAAUAGGAUGAGUCGAAGUGGGAUGAGGUAGUGGGUGGGGUAAAGGCUCACCAAGCCGACGAUCUCUACCUGGUCUGAGAGGAUGAUCAGCCACACUGGAACUGAGACACGGCCCAGACUCCUACGGGAGGCAGCAGUGGGGAAUAUUGGGCAAUGGGCGCAACCUGAUGCAGCCAUGCCGCGUGAAUGAAGAAGGCCUUCGGGUUGUAAAGUUCUUUCAGUAGCGAGGCGUUAACGACAGAAGAAGCACCGGCUAACUCCGUGCCAGCAGCCGCGGUAAUUC
rnacentral:rRNA from 1 species